GGGAAGUUGGCUCAGUGGUAGAGUGCUUGCCUUGCAUGCAUGAGGCCCUAAGCUCAACUCCUCA
rnacentral:tRNA from 1 species